GUCGUAACAAGGUUUCCGUAGGUGAACCUGCGGAAGGAUCAUUAAAGAGUAAGGGUGCUCAGCGCCCGACCUCCAACCCUUUGUUGUUAAAACUACCUUGUUGCUUUGGCGGGACCGCUCGGUCUCGAGCCGCUGGGGAUUCGUCCCAGGCGAGCGCCCGCCAGAGUUAAACCAAACUCUUGUUAUUAAACCGGUCGUCUGAGUUAAAAUUUUGAAUAAAUCAAAACUUUCAACAACGGAUCUCUUGGUUCUCGCAUCGAUGAAGAACGCAGCGAAAUGCGAUAAGUAAUGUGAAUUGCAGAAUUCAGUGAAUCAUCGAAUCUUUGAACGCACAUUGCGCCCCUUGGUAUUCCGAGGGGCAUGCCUGUUCGAGCGUCAUUACACCACUCAAGCUAUGCUUGGUAUUGGGUGCCGUCCUUAGUUGGGCGCGCCUUAAAGACCUCGGCGAGGCCUCACCGGCUUUAGGCGUAGUAGAAUUUAUUCGAACGUCUGUCAAAGGAGAGGACUUCUGCCGACUGAAACCUUUUAUUUUUCUAGGUUGACCUCGGAUCAGGUAGGGAUACCCGCUGAACUUAAGCAUAUCAAUAGUCG
rnacentral:rRNA from 1 species